GAUAUGAAAUCGACUUUCUCUUCUCAAUGCAAAUAGAUUCAUGCAAAUGAAAUGCUUAUAUGUGGACAGGAUUUUUUGGCCUAAGCACUACGCCCAUUUCUGGAGAGCAUCCUUCCAUAUAUAGUCAGCCAGAGUGCGCCAAGGGGUAUAAAGAUCUCCAUAGACGAUUUUGCUGCCUGGAAGUGAUGCUUGAAUUUGAGGCAGCAGUGCAAUGAGCUUCUGGUUAUACGACUGAGAAUCUGAAUUCAAGCUCUCCACGCACUUCCGCCCAAAUCCUAUUAAAUUCGUCGUCACCAGCAACGGCAGACACCCCAGCGGCGGCAAUCCAGUUAUCACCAUGUUGCGACUUCCCAGACUGUACAAUUCCUGCAGAUGUUGCAGAACAAAAUCUUGGUAGCCACCGAUGUCAUACUGCGCCUUUCUGAUGACGUCUCGGAAGAAAUUGAAGCUGAAAUCAUUGCUGCCACCCACAACCACCGCAAGGGAGUUAGAAACCACGUCGUGUGCCACCCCACCUCCGACGAAGCUCUUGAGCUGUUCAAUGUAAUCCUGAAAAUAAUCAAUCUGUUUAAUGAUGGGAGUGGCCAUGGUCUUCACACUGGUGAGGUUAUCAAACCCGGCCCCGGAGGAGGCGAAGCAGACGCCGGUGAGGAGCUCAUCUUUCGGCAAUUGGGGGUCAAGAAACGGGGGAACGGUGGCUUUGAUCCCCAGGUCGGAAGCCAAGAAAUCGGAGAGGAUUUUGCCGUCGGUGAAGCGGCCGUUGGGGAGAUGGGCGGGGAAAGAGUGGCCGUAGGGGUCGUGGUUGGCUUGGAUAGGAGUGAUUAGGAAAUUGUUGUUGCCGGUGUCGGCUAAGGAAUCUCCGAAGAUGAGAAUGGCUGGGAAUCUUAGCCGGGGAGUGGCGGAGGUCCAGCCCCAGAUGGCGGUGAGAGAAGUGAAGAAUAGCACUACGAGAAGAAUGAAGGAAGACGCCAUGAAUAAUAUAAUUAAGGUGACAGUUAGUGAAAGAAUGUAGGGUUGUUAUAUCCACUGCGAUGGGAGAAUGUGAAUAUUUAUAUGCAUGCAUGGUAACUUGCAUGAGUCGAAUUAGGUACGUAGCUUGAAUCUGAAGGCUAAAAUUCGUGUACUUCAAUUCAUAACAACGAUGAAAAAUAAAACAUUAACAUUACAAGCCAAAUUAAAGGCAUAGCGUUGGCUCAAUAUAAGUUGCAAAAUGCAAACAUGCAAUUUGGCAUGCAAA